rnacentral:rRNA from 1 species
AUUGAACGCUGGCGGCAUGCCUUACACAUGCAAGUCGAACGGUAACAGGUCUUCGGAUGCUGACGAGUGGCGAACGGGUGAGUAAUACAUCUGAACGUGCCUAGUAGUGGGGGAUAACUAAUCGAAAGAGUGGCUAAUACCCCAUGAGAUCUACGGAUGAAAGCAGGGGAUCGCACGACCGUGUGCUACUCGAGAGGCCGAAGGCGGAUUAGGUAGUGGGUGGGAUAAAAGCUUACCAAGCCGACGAUCUGUAGCUGGUCUGAGUGGACGAUCAGCCACACUGGGACUGAGACACGGCCCAGACUCCUACGGGAGGCAGCAGUGGGGAAUUUUGGACAAUGGGCGCAAGCCUGAUCCAGCAAUGCCGCGUGCAGGAUGAAGGCCUUCGGGUUGUAAACUGCUUUUGUACGGAACGAAAAGCCCUGGGUUAAUACCCUGGGGUCAUGACGGUACCGUAAGAAUAAGCACCGGCUAACUACGUGCCAGCCGCCGCGGUAACAC